UCUCUAAACAAUGGAUGUCUUGGCUCCUCACACGAUGAAGAACGUUGCAUAAUGUGAUAAGUAACUGGAGUUGCGAACAUUGUGACAAGUUAAUCUUUGAAUGCAAAUUGCGCAUACCUGAAUUUAUUCAGAUGCAUAUAUAUUCUAGUACUACA
rnacentral:rRNA from 1 species